rnacentral:rRNA from 1 species
GAUAUGAAGAGCUUGCUCUGAUUUGAUUUUAUCCGUUAAAGAGUGGCGAACGGGUGAGUAACACGUGGGUAACCCCCCUCUUAGCAGGGGAUAACAUUUGGAAACAAGUGCUAAUACCGUAUAACACUAACAACCGCAUGGUUGUUAGUUGAAAGAUGGUUCUGCUAUCACUAAGAGAUGGACCCGCGGUGCAUUAGCUAGUUGGUAAGGUAAUGGCUUACCAAGGCGAUGAUGCGUAGCCGAGUUGAGAGACUGAUCGGCCACAAUGGGACUGAGACACGGCCCAUACUCCUACGGGAGGCAGCAGUAGGGAAUCUUCCACAAUGGGCGCAAGCCUGAUGGAGCAACGCCGCGUGUGUGAUGAAGGGUUUCGGCUCGUAAAACACUGUUAUAAGGGAAGAACGACAUUGAGAGUAACUGUUCAGUGUGUGACGGUAUCUUAUCAGAAAGGAACGGCUAAAUACGUGCCAGCAGCCGCGGUAAUACGUAUGUUCCAAGCGUUAUCCGGAUUUAUUGGGCGUAAAGCGAGCGCAGACGGUUAUUUAAGUCUGAAGUGAAAGCCCUCAGCUCAACUGAGGAAGGGCUUUGGAAACUGGAUAACUUGAGUGCAGUAGAGGAAAGUGGAACUCCAUGUGUAGCGGUGAAAUGCGUAGAUAUAUGGAAGAACACCGGUGGCGAAAGCGGCUUUCUGGACUGUAACUGACGUUGAGGCUCGAAAGUGUGGGUAGCAAACAGGAUUAGAUACCC